UGCAGUCGACGACUCUUCGGAGUUAGUGGCGGACGGGUGAGUAACACGUGGGAACGUGCCUUUUGGUUCGGAAUAACUCAGGGAAACUUGUGCUAAUACCGAAUGUGCCCUUCGGGGGAAAGAUUUAUCGCCAUUAGAGCGGCCCGCGUCUGAUUAGCUAGUUGGUGAGGUAAAGGCUCACCAAGGCGACGAUCAGUAGCUGGUCUGAGAGGAUGAUCAGCCACAUUGGGACUGAGACACGGCCCAAACUCCUACGGGAGGCAGCAGUGGGGAAUCUUGCGCAAUGGGCGAAAGCCUGACGCAGCCAUGCCGCGUGAAUGAUGAAGGUCUUAGGAUUGUAAAAUUCUUUCACCGGGGACGAUAAUGACGGUACCCGGAGAAGAAGCCCCGGCUAACUUCGUGCCAGCAGCCGCGGUAAUACGAAGGGGGCUAGCGUUGCUCGGAAUUACUGGGCGUAAAGGGAGCGUAGGCGGACAUUUAAGUCAGGGGUGAAAUCCCGGGGCUCAACCUCGGAAUUGCCUUUGAUACUGGGUGUCUUGAGUAUGAGAGAGGUAUGUGGAACUCCGAGUGUAGAGGUGAAAUUCGUAGAUAUUCGGAAGAACACCAGUGGCGAAGGCGACAUACUGGCUCAUUACUGACGCUGAGGCUCGAAAGCGUGGGGAGCAAACAGGAUUAGAUACCCUGGUAGUCCACGCCGUAAACGAUGAUUGCUAGUUGUCGGGAUGCAUGCAUUUCGGUGACGCAGCUAACGCAUUAAGCAAUCCGCCUGGGGAGUACG
rnacentral:rRNA from 1 species